UUAUGUGAAAUUGGGGGUGAAAUUUUAAUUUUUUGGUAAUAAAGUUGAUAUUGUCUUUUUUAUAGGCUAUAAAGAUUUGGGCAUAAACUAGGAUUAGAUACCCUAUUAUACCAUUUAGAUAAUAAUUUUGCUUGAGUAGUAAUCAGUUAUGGUCUUGAAACUUAAAGAAUUUGGCGGUAUUCAAGUCUUGUUAGAGGAACCUGCUCUAUAAAUGAUACACCACGAAUUAUCUUACUUUUAUUUGUAUUCAGUUUGUAUACCGCCAUUAGUAAAGUAAUGUUAAUAGAUAGUUACUUAAAUAAGUAGUCAUUUAUUAUAUUAGGUCAAGGUGCAGCUUAUAUAAAAGUUGAGGUGGGUUACAGUAUAUUAUAUAUAUGGAUUAAAAUUUUAUAAUUUUUAUGAGAUAGGAUUUAAUUGUAUUUUUGUUUUAAUAUGACAUCUUGAUAUAAGCUCUAGAAUAUGUACAUAUCGCCCGUCGCUCUCAUUA
rnacentral:rRNA from 1 species